AUGCCCGUAGGCGGCCCGAAGAGCGAUAUAAAAGUUUCGACUCUAGGCGAAGUCAUGGCGCCAGAAGUCCAGGACAUAAAGUAUGCCGAUGUUGUAGCGCUGGAAAAUCACAAGGCGGGACGAAACGCUGGUGCAGCAAGAAACGCCGACGAUGCAUGCAUGUCUGAUAUGGUGAGUCUUGUCGCGAGGGAAGCUAACUCACACUUACAUGUGGGUAACGUGAAGCAAGGCGCACACACUGCGCAUUAUAGUCCAAUCUGUGCAGGAGGCACGUACAUGGUUGCUACGUACAAGUCGUAUAAUGCAACUUCAUGUGGGAGCUCACCUUCACGUGGUGUCCUGGUGGACGAGCAACGCCCAGGAAAAAGAAAAGGACAUGAUGGUGCCGCUCCUAAUGGCUUAGCUACAACACGCAAAGCAAAAGGGUUAGGCUUUUCUGAUGGGUCAGAAGAGAAGACGGACCAGGAGACAAGCCAUACCGCGGGUGAUGAUGGGCAAGGCCCAUUACCUGGUGGCCUGCAUGGGUUUUCGCCCGGUGGCCUGCGUGUGGACGAGAACUCAGCUACAGCCGCGGUGCUGCUGAACAGUCCAACAGGGAUGUCGACGGCACGUUCAGGUAUCUAG
rnacentral:rRNA from 1 species